GCGAUUUUACGGAUUGAAACUUCGGUCGAUUGAAGUAAAUGAAAGCGGCGAAAGGGAGAGUAACGCGUGGAUAUCUGCCCUUGGCUCCAGGAUAGCUACGGGAAACUGUAGGUAAUACUGGAUAACAUCUCCGGAUCAAAGGUGUGAUUCCGGCCGAGGAUGAGUCCGCGUCCUAUUAGGUUGUUGGCGGGGUAAUGGCCCACCAAGCCGAAGAUGGGUACCGGGUGUGAGAGCAUGGCCCGGCUCACUGGGACUGAGACACUGCCCAGACGUCUACGGACGGCUGCAGUCGAGAAUCUUCCGCAAUGGACGAAAGUCUGACGGAGCGACGCCGCGUGCGGGAUGAAGGCCUUCGGGUUGUAAACCGCUGUCAGUUGGGAGGAAAUGCUAUGGGGUUCUCUCCAUAGUUUGACCGAUCUUCAGAGGAAGUACGGGCUAAGUUCGUGCCAGCAGCCGCGGUAAUACGAACCGUACGAACGUUAUUCGGAAUCACUGGGCUUAAAGAGUCCGUAGGCGGCCUUGAAGGUGAGGUGUGAAAUCCAACGGCUCAACCGUUGAACUGCGCUUCAAACCACAAGGCUAGAGGGAGAUAGAGGAAAGCGGAACUGAUGGUGGAGCGGUGAAAUGCGUUGAUAUCAUCAGGAACACCGGUGGCGAAAGCGGCUUUCUGGGUCUCUUCUGACGCUGAGGGACGAAAGCUAGGGGAGCGAACGGGAUUAGAUACCCCGGUAGUCCUAGCUGUAAACGAUGAGCACUAGUUCGAGGGGACCCCCACAUCCUCUUGGACGUAGCGAAAGUGUU
rnacentral:rRNA from 1 species